CCCCAGAGUCCAUAAAGAUCACUUGGAGGUGAGAAGCCUUGAAAUAGGGCUGCAUGCACUGUUUCUUUUGGAUUUUUCUCCUUGAUGUGGGUGUUGGCUGGAGGUUUCUUGUUGGAGAGAAGGAAAGAUGCAUUCUGAUGUGCAGAGGUAUCCACAGGCCUUGAUCAUAUUUCAGUUACAUUGGUAAAAGCAUGAAUUAAAAAUCAAGAAGCCCUGAAUGGCACACAGAUGUGAUAGGACCCAACCCAGCUGCUUGUCUAAGCUCUGUGAUACUGACAGGAAUGGACCUAGAACUCCUGACUCAAAGUUGAGCAUCCAACUGCAGCAACUUAGACUCCAGAAGCCAAAUUAUUGGAAAUAUGCUGUCUCUUGUUGAAAUACUACAGGUGUUAUUUUGACUGGAAUUUGUUCAGUUGCCAGGCUUAGCCCCGGACUGAUGGUAUCCAGAAACUGGUGCCAAGGGCUCACAUCCCACUGGCCUCUCUCCAUGUCUUCAUCCCUCUUGUCCUAACAACCAAGCACUCUGCUGUUUAAUGCUGAACUUUUCAUAAUUAAACUUGUCAGAAUUUUCUAAUUAAAUAACAACUCAGCAUU